rnacentral:rRNA from 1 species
UCCCCUAGUAACUGCGAGUGAAGCGGGAAAAGCUCAAAUUUAAAAUCUGACGGUUUCACCGUCCGAGUUGUAAUCUGGAGAAGCAUUUUCUGUGUCAGACCGUGUACAAGUCUCUUGGAAUAGAGUGUCAUAGAGGGUGAGAGUCCCGUCCAUGACACGGAUCCUGAUGCUUUGUGAUAUGCUCUCGAAGAGUCGAGUUGUUUGGGAAUGCAGCUCAAAAUGGGUGGUAAAUUCCAUCUAAAGCUAAAUAUUGGCGAGAGACCGAUAGCGAACAAGUACCGUGAGGGAAAGAUGAAAAGCACUUUGGAAAGAGAGUUAAACAGUACGUGAAAUUGUUGAAAGGGAAACGCUUGAAGUCAGUCGCGUUGUCUGGAACUCAGCCUUGCUUGCAUGGUGUACUUUCCAGUUAACGGGUCAACAUCAAUUUUGGUUGGUGGAUAAAGGCAGAGGGAAUGUGGCACCUUUCGGUGUGUUAUAGCCCUUUGUUGCAUACACUGACUGGGAUUGAGGAAUGCAGCACGCCUUUAUGGCCGGGGGUUCGCCCUACGUAACGUGCUUAGGAUGUUGGCAUAAUGGCUUUAAGCGACCCGUCUUGAAACACGGACCAAGGAGUCUAACAUGCUCGCGAGUGUUAGGGUGGAAAACCCUUGCGCGUAAUGAAAGUGAAAGUUGGGGGGUGAAGCCAGGGGAAACUCUGGUGGAGGCUCGUAGCGAUUCUGACGUGCAAAUCGAUCGUCAAAUUUGGGUAUAGGGGCGAAAGACUAAUCGAACCAUCUAGUAGCUGG